CCUACGGGCGGCAGCAGUGGGGAAUAUUGGACAAUGGGGGGAACCCUGAUCCAGCCAUGCCGCGUGUGUGAAGAAGGCCCUCGGGUUGUAAAGCACUUUCAGUGAGGAAGAACGCCUGGUGGUUAAUACCCAUCAGGAAAGACAUCACUCACAGAAGAAGCACCGGCUAACUCCGUGCCAGCAGCCGCGGUAAUACGGAGGGUGCGAGCGUUAAUCGGAAUUACUGGGCGUAAAGCGCGCGUAGGUGGCUUGAUAAGCCGGUUGUGAAAGCCCCGGGCUCAACCUGGGAAUGGCAUCCGGAACUGUCAAGCUAGAGUGCAGGAGAGGAAGGUAGAAUUCCCGGUGUAGCGGUGAAAUGCGUAGAGAUCGGGAGGAAUACCAGUGGCGAAGGCGGCCUUCUGGACUGACACUGACACUGAGGUGCGAAAGCGUGGGUAGCAAACAGGAUUAGAUACCCCUGUAGUC
rnacentral:rRNA from 1 species